rnacentral:rRNA from 1 species
UACGUAGGGGCAAGCGUUGUCCGGAAUCAUCGGGCGUAAAGCGCGUGUAGGCGGCCCGGUAAGUCCGCUGUGAAAGUCCAGGGCUCAACCCUGGGAUGCCGGUGGAUACUGUCGGGCUCGAGUCCGGAAGAGGCGAGUGGAAUUCCUGGUGUAGCGGUGAAAUGCGCAGAUAUCAGGAGGAACACCAAUGGCGAAGGCAGCUCGCUGGGACGUGACUGACGCUGAGACGCGAAAGCGUGGGGAGCAAACAGG